AUAAUUCUGGUUACAAAAGUAAUCAAAUUUUACAGGAAAGCCCUACCUUAUACACACAUGUGAGUAACUCACAAAAGAAUAUUUUCUCCUUCAAUUCUACUUAUGCUUGAAGCACAAAGGCACACUUGAAUACAUAAUUUGCUAGCACUCACUGUUUGAGUUAUGUGUAUAAGCACACACCUGCCCUCACAUGAACAAAGAUGAGUUUCAGUGUUUGCAAGCCAAAAAGCUACACAAUUGUAUUGGACAUAAUAGUAAAAUAAGUUGCAUCUGACAAGAAGCAGAGCAUAUUCAGUUUAAAAACCCCACUUAAUCUAGUUGAAUUCUAACAAAUAAAUAAUUGUCCUUUUCUAGUCUGCUGUGUGGAAGAUCCAUGGGGGAAAGCUGGAGAGUGAGCAAUCUGAAGAGGAAGUUCAUUCUUCUCUUUUGUCCCUACCAGCUGCAGAAAUAAACCACCUCUGCCUCACCUGAGCCUGCAAAACAGAUUGUACAUUUCUUCCAUGAUGCUUCAUUCUCAAGAGGUAAUAUAUUUGUAACCUGCAUGUGAAAUGCUGAUGUGUGAGCAAAUGAUGUACCAACCCUUUCACAGUAAUUCCACUUUCACAUUCAAAGACCAUCCUCCUGCUCAGCAUGGAGA